UCCACAAAACAUACUUCCUACAUUACAUUCAACAAUGUUGCAGCGCGCGACCGUUUGAUGAUAGGAGGCAUGGUUAAAUCACUGAACACAACUGUAGCUGGCGGCUGCUAUAGCAGCCCCGCAUUUUCAUCGAAAUGUCGGCAACCACCUUGGUCUGACCAAUAAUUGGCUCGAAUGGAUGGUUGUUUGGUACACAUUUUAAUAGAUGUGAAAGCUAUGAUUGAAUGCAAUAUGAUGUAUAUAUUCAUUUUUGGUCAUUUCCAGAUCAUUAUUGUACAGUACACACCUAAAUUGAAAUGCGAUUAAACCCAUUUUAAUCCCACAAUCUAUUAGCUGGC
rnacentral:sRNA from 1 species